CGCAAGGCCUCGCCAGGCCCUCUGGAGGAUUAGGACUGAGAACUUCAGGCCCCUCCUCUAUAUCCUCUAAAAAUCUGCAGGCCCCUUAGAGUCACUCGGACCAACUGUAGCUCGCUAACAUGUCAAGACGAAAUCAGAUGCCCAGAGAUGAUGGUGGGGUUACAAAAAGAAAAUAAAUACAGGCUAUGGAUGGCCCCUCAUUCAGGUUUCUAACCAUCUCUCUCAAAUUCCUGCUUUCUUCCUUAAUCCAAAGGAUGCCAGUCAAGCUGGUACCAUGGGGACGUCUCGGUCCCCUUCCCAUGUGCACGCAUCUGGCCCAGGAGAUGUGUAGGCACGACACAGGAGUGGCUUAGCUGGAAUUAACACAACGCAGCCUGAGGGCAUAUGUGGACCAUUUGGAACUCAAGGCCCCAGGAGGUGGCCCAGUAGCAGCAGUAAGGUGCCUCUGGAAGGUGAGACCUCCCUAAUACUGUUUGUGCCAUUUCAUCAAGAUUUGCAGAAACGGUAGAGCUGAUCGUACACGCAGAACUACCACGUUCCUGGCAGACAUCUCCUCCCUUCACGCAUCUUAGAGCAGAAGGCGCAGCUGCAACCUGAGAGAACAUGGUCCUAAAUGCAGAAUCCUCGUGAUGGGGAAGUCAAGGACUGAUUGCUUUAGGUGAGUAAGAUGCUUCAACAUCUUCCAAAGCAGAUGCAUCGUCAGAAAAUCUUCUGGGCCGAGAACACUCUGCAGGAUCCCCCGAUGGAAGACGAGGCUUGUCAGAUGCCAACAGACUGAGAGCAAUAAAGUGUAAAUAAUUUAGAGCUCCUUGAUAUUAUCCUGCCUACUCAUCACGUACAUCUUUAAUAAUUGAUUCAGUCUUUAAAGAAAUUCUCUCUACGUAACUUACAGCAUUCUCUCUGUUUUUGGCCUGUUGACAACAGCAGACCGUUUCUGUGUGGGACCCGUCCUUCCCGGGUGAGGCACGUUUGUUUGCACAGGAGACGUUUUCCUGCUGUUGGUUUCUAUGGCUGUGUUCUGCACAUGCUCAGUGAGCAUUAUGGUUCUGAUCAGAAUUCUCCUUAAGGUCCUCACCAUUGUCAGGAACUGUUUUAGAGUUUUAUAUCUAUUGACAUGAUUCCCACAGCAAUCCUAUUAUCGCCUCUUAUUUCUCUAUUUUACAGAUGAAGAAAAUGGUUAAAUCACUUGAAUAGAAUGCCCCUAUCGCACCUGUCUACUCCCGACACUGACAGAUCACUGCCUGGCGCAGUCACCAUGGGAACAAGGCUGUAGAUAACUCGUACCACGGUGUUAACUGGGUUAAUUUUGUGUAGAAAAAAUCGCCUCGGUUCAAAAGAAGCUGGUUCCUUUAAAUAUCUGAUUACGGAGCCCGGCUAACUCACUCACACAGAGAGCUCUGGGGAGGGGGAAGGGAAGUGACGGGGAUGGAAAACAGCUGAGGAAUAGUGACAUCAGAUGCUCCCAGUACAACAGCCAGAGAGAGGACGCCAGCCAGGCAGAACGUUAGAGGUAACGGAAGGGACCUGGAGCAUAUUUAUAUUUUGUAGAAUGCAGUUUGCUCCAGAAAUGGAAAUUAUUCCAGGAAGGUCAGAGAGAAGACGCUGCUGUAGAUGGAAAGUGCAGCUGAGCAGAAACCCCAGGACCCAAAAAAGAAUCGGAUCAUGACACUGUGACUCUAAGUAACUUAUCGACUGCAGAGCAGGACUUUCAGCGGACUUACGCCCUGGGGCUUUGCCCUGUAAAAACGGCUGAGCAGGUCAAAGCAGAGGUGCCACACAUUAGGAACUGCAUACUGUCUCUUCUUAUUGUGCACUUUUAUUUUCUGUUUAACUUGCACAUGCCAUUUAUUUGUUUUUUUAAAAUUGAGAUAUAAGAUACUACCAAAAAAGGUCAAAUGUGUAAAGUAUACGAAUCUAUGUGUAUAGCUUCACGAAUCUCACAUACAUGUAUAUAAACAUACAUCAAUGUAAUCAACAUCCAGAUCAAGAUACAAAAUACUUCCCCCACCCUAGAAAGCUCCCCAGCGAUGCCCAGCAAGCCCACCAGAAGGAAAGGGCAUCCUUACUUCGAGCACCUGAGUUAGUUCUGCCUGUCCUCGAUAAACGCGAGAAAUGAGUCAGGCAGCAUUCGCUUCUGGCUUUUUACUCAACACAAGGUGUGUAAGAUUCAUCCGCGUUAUUGUGCACAUCAGUCGUUGGUCUUUAAUGUUGUGGUUUACAUUGUGUUGGAUGACUAUACUCCUCAUUUAUUGAUCUCUUCUCCUGUUGACGGACAUUUGUGCUGUGUCCAGCUUGAGGCAGUUAGGAAUAAAGCUUUGGUGAAAAUUGUUAUGUGAUUUUCUGUUGUUGUACCUAUGUGCCCAUUUCUUCUCCAUAGGUCCCUAGGAGGGGCGUGUCUGGGCGAUGGGGCAGGCACGUGCUCAGCUGCUGUUGAUACUUUGGAGGACGCUGCAGCUCAUCCCUCAGCGUCUCCUUCAGAUGGUUCCUCCUCGCUCCUGGGACUGGUGCCAGCUGCCAGCCCUCUUUGGCAAUUGCUUCUCCUUCAGCUCACACCUAUGGCCACACGGGGGAUCCCUU
ensembl:lncRNA